CGGGGCGUAGCGCAGUCCGGUUAGCGUACCUGCUUUGGGAGCAGGGGGUCGCGAGUUCGAAUCUCGCCACCCCGA
rnacentral:tRNA from 1 species